rnacentral:tRNA from 1 species
GAGAGUAUAGCUCAAUUGGUAGAGCACAUGCUUAGCAUACACAAGGUCCUGGGUUCAAUCCCCAGUACCUCCU